GACGAACGCUGGCGGCGUGCCUAAUACAUGCAAGUUGAGCGCUGAAGGUUGGUACUUGUACCGACUGGAUGAGCAGCGAACGGGUGAGUAACGCGUGGGGAAUCUGCCUUUGAGCGGGGGACAACAUUUGGAAACGAAUGCUAAUACCGCAUAAAAACUUUAAACACAAGUUUUAAGUUUGAAAGAUGCAAUUGCAUCACUCAAAGAUGAUCCCGCGUUGUAUUAGCUAGUUGGUGAGGUAAAGGCUCACCAAGGCGAUGAUACAUAGCCGACCUGAGAGGGUGAUCGGCCACAUUGGGACUGAGACACGGCCCAAACUCCUACGGGAGGCAGCAGUAGGGAAUCUUCGGCAAUGGACGAAAGUCUGACCUAGCAACGCCGCGUGAGUGAAGAAGGGUUUCGGAUCGUAAAACUCUGUUGGUAGAGAAGAACGUUGGUGAGAGUGGAAAGCUCAUCAAGUGACGGUAACUACCCAGAAAGGGACGGCUAACUACGUG
rnacentral:rRNA from 1 species